rnacentral:lncRNA from 1 species
UUUGUGGUUUUGAGGAGGCUGAGAUGGAUCCAAGGCGAGGCUUUCCAAAAACCUCAGCAACCAUUUAGGACAAGGUCGAGGCUCAAGACCUCCACUGUCCCAAAAGUCACUUCCAUGAACAACUGCUCUUGUCAAAUUAAUAUUUUUUAACAUUGCCAGACGUUCGUCUUAAAUUCUUUAGUUUUUAAAAUGUGGGGCUUAUGAAUAAAUGUGAAGAGAGAUAUCACGGGAGAGCCAGAGCAAACACUUUCUUUUGCCAGCUAUGGGCUAUGACAUAUGAUUUUCUAACCACCUGAUAACACCUGCAACAUGAUACAACUGCGGUGUCAGGCUUUUGCUGUAUCAGCAUCUCUUUUUGGAGAAAUGACUCAGACAGUUCAUACAACAGGAAAGUAUCUUCUAGUAACAGUCUCAAGGUGCUUGUUGGGGUGGUAGGAGAAUGGAUGCUGAUAACGCUCAGGAAAAUAGGGAAAAAAGCAUAAUGCUAUAGAGUUUUCGAGAUGGCUCUAUUUUAUUGCAUGGCCCCAGGGAGAGUUAGUAAGGCUUUUAGGACACACAGGGGCAGGCACGUAACACCCUAGUGUGAUAGUCCCUAAAAUUUGGUUCUCCCUAACUAGAAAUAGAGUUACCAUACGUUCCUGCAAUCCCACUCCUGAGCCCAUAUCCAGAGAAAACUCUAAUUAGAAAAGAUACAUGCACCCUUAUGUUCAGCGCAGCACUAUAUACCAUAGCCAAGACAUGGAAACAAUUUAAAUGUCCAUCAGCAGAUGAAUGGAUACAGAAGAAGAUACACGCGUGCGCGUGCACACACACAUACACAUAGUGGGAUACAAUUCAGCCAUAAAAAAAGAAUGAAAUAAUGCCAUUUUCAGUAAUAUGGACAGACCUAGAGAUUAUCAUACAAAGUGAAGUAAGUCAGACUGAGAAAGACAGAUACUAUAUGCUAUCACUUAUAUGUGGAAUCUAAAAAAAAGAUACAGGUAAUCUUAUAUAUAAAAUGGAAAUAGACCUAUAGACACAGACAGCAAACAUGAUCACUAAAGGGGAAUGGUGGGCGGGAGGCGUAAUUUAGGAGUGUGGGAUUAACAGAUAUGCACCAGUAUAUGUAGAAUGGAUAGACAACAAGGACCUACAGUAUAGCACAGGGAACUAUAGUCGAUAUUUUGUAAUAACCCAUAAGGAGGCCAUAGAAAUAUUGAAUCACUCUAUUGUACAUCUGAAACUAAUAUUGUAAAUCAACUAUACUUCAAUUAAAAAAAAAAGUUUGAUUCUCCCCAAUCAAGCCAUCAUCUGGCUGCCUCAGUAUCACGGGAGGAGCUUAUUGAGGUGUGUCCCUGCUGGGGUGGGGAGGGGGCUUCCCUGUUGCUGGCAGCUCUGGAAUUUCUCAGAAGGGGAAGGGAUUGUAUAUACUUAUCUAAAGUUCCCCAAGCAACUGUGGUGAUUGGACGCAUUUGGUAAUUACUUCUAAGUGACUGAUGUGUUUCCUAAAUGUGAAAGGAUCUGGGGCGGAGAAGGUCCUUAUCCAGGGUAACACUUUAUGAAGAGAAAGCCAGAAGGAAAAUGGAAAUAUUGACCUUGCAACAAUUUUGGCCAGCACAUUUUAAAAAGGAAAAUAGGGAGCUCCUGUUGGGGACAUCACACGGGAACAUGUGCUCAAGAUACUUGUGUUCAGACGGAUGGAGUAACGCUUAGAGCGGGGAAAAGGGGAAUCAUCCCUCUCCACGUCCUUAUGACCUCAACAAAUGUUACUUUGAGAAGGGAAAACAGAUGGCGAAAGCUAUUCUUCACAAUGACUUCGGGGGUCUGAUGCCAACCUUUCACCUCGGAAGUCAGUAGGUGGGUGCAAGACUGCAAACGCUUGGUAAGACAGUGAAUAAGGCCAGCCUGCUGAGAAUGGGUCCCCCGUCGUUUCCUUCCUUUAUUCAGCAAACAGUACUUUUUAAUGUUCCACCAGGUUCAUUAGUAAAGAAUAUCCAUUUUCUCGAGUUUUCAGAAAUCACCUAAUGAAAUGUACUGCUUCUGUAGGAGAUGACUUUAAACCCUGACAAAUCUGGAGUGGGAUGGGGAACACCUUGAGUCUUCCAGGACAAGGAGGACUUCCGGGGUCCGGUGGGUGGGCUCUGGUGCCAUCCCGUUUCUGUUUUGAUGUCCCUCUGCACCCCCAUCCCUGGGGACAUGAGUGCUGACGAGGAACAAGACGUCCCGAGUCACUGGAGAAAAUGCACUGGGUAAUUCCUCUGUCAAGUCCUUUGUAAUUUUAAACAGACUCUCGGCUGCUUUCAGCUGCAGAGGAGUAUUUAUGAACCUGGCAUGUUUAAGAGCCAGCAUCAAGGAUUUCAAUCUUCCAAACAAGAAAAUUAGAAAGCAAGUCCCGUUCCCACGGAGACAGAGUAAGGGCAAAAGCUAUUAGGACGACUCAGCUCCUCGAAUAUUAAAAGCACCCUAGCACGUUUCUCCAGGUCAGAAGAACAGGGACCCCCUGGAGCUUGCAGUGGUAAGAACAGAUGUGUGGCGGUGCCUCUCAGACAGGUGUGUGGUAAGCGAGUAAUUGCUCGUGAAGAGAGAGAUGAGGGUGAAAGCAAAGGAAAUGGAAAUGCAUCUUGAUCCUUCCAUCUUGAUUCCUACUUUACUCUCCAUGGAUGUCUCUACUUAAGACGUGGGGUGGCAGGGGUGGGGGGAGAUGGAGAAAAGAAGAGGGUGAAAAGCGUCACUGAAGCCUUCUCGACCCGACAGCCACCUCAAUGACAUGUGUCUGUCACAGGAUAAGUCUGUGGGCGCAAGGUGGACCAGACCAACCCCAAUCCCUCUGUGCUUUUUCUUACCUGUUGCUAGGUAACAAAUCACCCUAAGAUAUCAGUCGCUUAAAAAAACAACAUCCAUUUCAUUACAGUUCAUGCUUUUGUGGGACAGAAAUUGCAGCAGGGUUCCUUGGCUGACACUUCUGUCCCACCUGGCAUCAACUGUGCUUACCUGGUGCUGUAUUCAGUUGCCAGGUGGGCCAGUCUGGAAGAUCCAGGACCGAUGCCUUGAUGGGAACAAUGGGCUGAUCACAACCCCCAGAGCUAUCCAGGUCCUUAUCCUUGAAGCCUGUGAAUGUCACCUUACAUAUGGCAAAAGGCAUUUUGCAGAUGUGAUUGAAUUAAUUGUCCAAUGGGGAGUUUAGCCUGGAUUACCCAGGCGAGCCCUAAAGGUAAUCAGAAGUGUCCUUGUCAAAUGGCUUUGUGAGGACAGAAGUGGUGUCCCACAUUGCUGGCUUUGAAGCAGGAAGAAGCAGGGGGUCAGGCAGCAAGGAACUGGGGGAAUGCGGCUCUCGAAAAGGUAGGAAAACAGACUCUCCACCAGAGCCUCUGAAGGCAGUGAAGCUGUGCUGAUGCCUUGAUUCUGGCCCUUCUAAAACUGAUUUUGGACCCCUGCCCUCCAGUAUGGUAAGAGAGACCAGGUUUGGGGCAGCAGCCAGAGGAAACCAAUACAGCAGGGAUGGUGAGAAGCCUGGACUGGACUGAGACUACUGAGCCGCUUGCCUGCUGUGGCCCCUCCCCUGGGGCUGGUCCCAGGACUCCGUGGCAGCUCAGGUCCCAGGAGGAAUCUGCCCCUAGAGGAGGGGAAGCUUCAGUACAGAGCCUGCCCACACUCAAGGGGAGGAGUGUCAUAGACUGUGUGGCUGUAUUUGUACUUCGGGAAAGAAGCCUUGGAAGACUCAUGUCCUACUGGUCAUUGACCAAUGGCAUCGCAUAUGCUUAUUCAAUCGGCUGACUAUCAAAAUCCAACUCCUUGGUGGAUAAAAUUAUGCCACGAAAACAGAGUGCUUGAGACUCUUGUGUUUGUUAUGGAAUCCAAAGUCAUAUUGGCUUAAGCCAUCCUGAAAGAGGUCAGGAAAUUGGCUUGGCCUUCCUUCCUUCCUUCACAGCCUUUUUGCCUAAUUUGCUGGAAGACGACAUCGUGGCAGCAACUGUGAGCGGUGUUCUAGAAGGUACCACGGCAAGGCUGAAAAUGUUUCAUUAAACAACUGAUUUCAAACAGGGGAUCUUAGAUUUCUCUCUUCUUAAGUCUGAGCAUGACGAUGAAAAUGUACUGCAGCUUCUCAGUCAAUUCUACUGUGACCGCCACUUCCACCCCCAGCUGUUCACAGGGCUUCAGGCACUUGGCCACACCUCAUUUCUUCUGGUCCUCAUAACAUCCUAUCUCCUAGCUUACUCUGUCUUUGCUUUUUCUUUUUCUCUUUUUAGGGCCAUACCUGUGGCAUAUAGAGGUUCCCAGGCUGGGGGUCAAAUCAGAGCUACACCACCGCCACAGCAACACAGGAUCCA